rnacentral:misc_RNA from 1 species
UGCACACAGUUGGCCAUUUACAGUUCAAUCAUUACAGGCCUAUCUAAAAUCAUUGGCCAUUUACAGGCCUCCGAGGUCUCUAGCUUCGUAAUAUUACACAAAAAUCAAUUAAAAUCAAUAAUUCUGUUAAGACUCAACCAGGUUAAACUAUAACCCUAGCCCUAUCUAAAAUCAUUGUACUGUAUACUACCAGCAAUGAUAAUCACCCACUCAAAGUUAAUCCGCUUGAGAUAAAUGCAUUGCCUGUAUCACUCAUGCGGCUACAAAUGCAAAGGAACAAACUGCAAAACAGUAAUGAAUACCAGUCAGUAACUAGUCAGCUUAACUCCAUGCCGUAACUAGGUCAAUUAAUCCAAAUUGACUUGAAGUAACAAGCAUGAGCCCACAAUUCUUGUGCCAGAUUGCCAUAUCAAUCCAACUGCUAAGUGCCAUGCCCAUAUAUCAACAUGAGGUUAGGCUUAGUAAAGUAACGUUGCCAUUCCAUUGUAUUUUUCCUCCUUAAAGAUGGAGAACAAUGUGACUACUACAAAUAGCCAGAUCAGGAAUGGCUAAGCACAGGCAGCUUGUUGCGUUCAGGAAGAGCAGUAUAUGGUAAGCUCAUAAAUGCUAGUUCAGUAAUGAUCCUUCUUGCUUUUCUUUAGUAGCAUUGACAUGUGAUUACGUAUUCAUGUCCUGUCGGGGUCCCACCCAUCAGCCACUGCAGCGCCUCAACUGCUGCAUCUUUCUCUGCACUCUUCUUAUUAUUGCAAGGUUGCCCCAUAAUUUGCAUUCCAUUAAACUCCACAGUAGCUCGAAAUUGGUUGUUCUUCAACUGCUUUGUCUUGUAAGUUGGUGCAGCAUAUCCAGCCCUGGUUAGCAAUGUUUGGAGCUGAGACUUAGAAUUAUCACCUCCAGGACCACUUUCAGUCCUUGACACUAAGGCUGGCUGUGUUGACAUAACAGAGAUCUUCGAGGGCUUCAGUACUUGAUUGCCAAAUACAAAUUUGCCAUCACAUUUAUCUUCUGAAAGCAGUAAACGUAUGGCACAUAGGAGCUCAUGAUACACGUGUAUAUCCAUCCUGGGAUUCAAAAGUUUGGUCUGAAUCAGUUCAUCAAGUUCUCUCCUCAAGGUUUGAUACAUUUCGGCUAUAGCAGGUUUCAUGAAGAAUUCCAAGUAUCCUCCCAGCAUCUUCAGAUGUCCAUCAAUGUCCCCCUUGGACAUGCUUCCACCAAAUAGAAGCAACACUGAAUCAGAAACAGCUGUUGAAUCCCGAAGGAAAACAGCAUUAACCUUUAUCUUCUCAUUGAAAACCAGCCAUGGAUAAGGAAUUUUAGAUUCCCGAGCAUUGACCGAGUUAGAGUACAGAAGUACUUGUCCAUCCUCCAUAGUUUUCAGAGAAAAAGACUUUUCAUUAUGCACAACAGAGGAAAUUCCCGGAUAGAGGCCAUAGCAAAUAACUGCUCGAAUGAGAUGCUCUUCAUGACUCCAUGCAUUGCAGGUUAUAGCGUUGCUAUCAACCAGGCCAGCAUCCUUGAGCAAGGAGAAGAACUCUCUCCGAAGAGAAUCAAUUGCUUUCAUAGAUUGCAUAGAUAGAAAAUUUUUCCAACAAUAGUCAUACCCUGCAAAAUCUCUCUCAGCAUCUUUCCAGCCCUCAUAGGCCCGGACAAGGGCAAGGUGGUCACUAUAAUCA